CCGUUGUUUCUUAAUCUCACGCCGGGGAUAUAGAUAUUAAAAGAACCUCCUCUCCCUCCUAUAAAUCGGAGUGAGACACCUCCCCAGGUGCAAGACCCAACGCUCACUCUUGUGAAGAAGACAGUCACCUGAGGAAUUUCCUCAUAUGGACUGAAUUGGCUCAUCACUGCUUAAAUGGUCAUCUCUGACAUUCCACACAUGAUCUACAGAGGCGUGUUCCCAUCUCAAGAAAUUUUCUGCUCGUGAUCUCUCUUCCCUUGUGAUGCAUGAUUCUUGUGCAGAAAGACCAGCAUACGUUAGAAAAUCUUGCCUGUAGAAAUCAGAUGAAUGCACUGGGAUACUUCUGUUUUCAGAAAUUACUGCUUCAAUUUGUGCUUCCACUUGUUCAUACCGAGAUAGUGAAAUGCCAGUAAUACAUAAGGAGAUGUCACAUAAGACCCUUAGGUCUAUUUAAUGUUUUCAAAGUUAAAAUCCACCUGGCAAUUAAUGAAAUAUUAUGUGAAUAAAAGCAAAGAUUUGAAAGUGGGCUUUUUUCCU
rnacentral:lncRNA from 1 species